ACGUAGGGGGCGAGCGUUGUCCGGAUUUAUUGGGCGUAAAGGGCGUGUAGGCGGUCUGUUAAGUCAGAGGUGAAAAUCCAGGGCUCAACCCUGGAACUGCCUCUGAAACUGGUGGACUUGAGUACUCUAGAGGGCAGUGGAAUUCCGAGUGUAGAGGUGAAAUUCGUAGAUAUUCGGAAGAACACCAGUGGCGAAGGCGACUUACUGGACACAUAUUGACGCUGAGGUGCGAAAGCGUGGGGAGCAAACAGGA
rnacentral:rRNA from 1 species